UACGUAGGUGACAAGCGUUGUCCGGAUUUACUGGGCGUAAAGAGCGCGCAGGCGGUCGAUCAAGUCGAGUGUGAAAGCCCCCGGCUCAACUGGGGAGGGUCAUUCGAUACUGAUCGACUCGAAGGCAGGAGAGGGUAGUGGAAUUCCCGGUGUAGCGGUGAAAUGCGCAGAGAUCGGGAGGAACACCAGCGGCGAAGGCGGCAUCCUGGCCCUAUCCUGACGCUGAGGCGCGAGAGCGUGGGGAGCAAACCGG
rnacentral:rRNA from 1 species